AUUGAACGCUGGCGGCAGGCCUAACACAUGCAAGUCGAGCGAGCGGCGGACGGGUGAGUAAUGUAUGGGGACUGCCCGAUAGAGGGGGAUAACUACUGGAAACGGUGGCUAAUACCGCAUACUAUCGGAUAACCCAUAUGGGAUUAGCUAGUAGGUGGGGUAAAGGCUCACCUAGGCGACGAUCUCUAGCUGGUCUGAGAGGAUGAUAGGCCAAAGUGGGACGGAGACACGGCCCAGACCCCUACGGGGGCAGCAGUGGGGAAUAUUGCACAAUGGGCGCAAGCCGGAUGAAGCCGUGCCGGGUGUAUGAAGAGGGCCUUAGGGUUGUAAGGUACUUUCAGCGGGGAGGCGUUACCCGCAAAAGAAGCACGGGCAAACUCCGUGCCAGCAGCCGCGGUAAUA
rnacentral:rRNA from 1 species